rnacentral:rRNA from 1 species
UACGAAGGGGGCUAGCGUUGCUCGGAAUUACUGGGCGUAAAGCGCACGUAGGCGGCUUUCUAAGUCGGGGGGUGAAAUCCUGGAGCUCAACUCCAGAACUGCCUUCGAUACUGGAAAGCUCGAGUCCGGGAGAGGUGAGUGGAACUGCGAGUGUAGAGGUGAAAUUCGUAGAUAUUCGCAAGAACACCAGUGGCGAAGGCGGCUCACUGGCCCGAUACUGACGCUGAGGCGCGAAAGCGUGGGUAGCAAACGGG